rnacentral:rRNA from 1 species
UACGUAGGGGGCAAGCGUUGUCCGGAUUUAUUGGGCGUAAAGAGCGUGUAGGCGGCUAGGUAGGUCCGUUGUGAAAACUCGAGGCUCAACCUCGAGACGCCGGUGGAAACCAUCUAGCUAGAGUCCGGAAGAGGAGAGUGGAAUUCCUGGUGUAGCGGUGAAAUGCGCAGAUAUCAGGAAGAACACCCGUGGCGAAGGCGGCUCUCUGGUACGUGACUGACGCUGAGACGCGAAAGCGUGGGGAGCGAACCGG